AUUCUUCUACCACAAUGCUUAUAGAUGGUUUCCUGCAUAUGGGUUAGUUAAUAUCUUGUUCUGAAGGAGCAAAAAAGCCAUAUACUAAAAUACUACUAAAUCAUCAGACUGCAUCCUAUCGACAUGCUUACAGAAGUGGACGUCCGAAGGUUAUGCUAGUACUUUAUGAGAAGAGGAGAGCUGAAUGAUGGACAUGAUCAGAUUAGAUUUAAGAUUUCAUCCUUCUGGAUCAACUCAUUUAGAGGAAUCUGCUCUGGAUUUGGAUCACAAUUACAGUGGUCAUCCUAAUUUGCCCUCAUCCAGUCCUUCUCCUCUCCAGCCUUUUGCUUCAGCUGGUCAGCACUCUGAGAGUAAUGCCGCCUACUUCUCAUGGCCAACUUCAAGUCGAUUAAUUGAUGCAGCGGAAGAUAGGGCCAAUUAUUUUGGAAACUUGCAGAAAGGUGUU